GGAUUAGAUACCCGGGUAGUCCACGCCGUAAACGAUGGAUGCUAGCUGUGUGUCGUAUCGACCCGAUACGUAGCGAAGCUAACGCGUUAAGCAUCCCGCCUGUGGAGUACGAGCGCAAGCUUAAAACAUAAAGGAAUUGACGGGGACCCGCACAAGCGGUGGAGCGUGUUGUUUAAUUCGAUGGUAAGCGAAGAACCUUACCCAGGCUUGACAUCCUUGGAACUUUUCCGAAAGGAUUAGGUGCUUUAUUGAGCCAAGUGACAGGUGAUGCAUGGCCGUCGUCAGCUCGUGUCGUGAGAUGUUUGGUUAAGUCCAUCAACGAGCGCAACCCCUGUAGUUAGUUGAAUUUUUCUAGCUAGACUGCCUCGGUAACGGGGAGGAAGGAGGGGAUGAU
rnacentral:rRNA from 1 species